GCAUUGGUGGCUCAGAGGUAGAAUUCUCACCUUCUGCGCUGGGGCCCUGGGUUCCAUUCCCAGCCAGUGUA
rnacentral:tRNA from 1 species